rnacentral:lncRNA from 1 species
UUUUAUUUUAUUUUUGUACAUUAUUUUUUAUAAAAUUUGCCACAUAGCAGUUUUUCCCUCACCCUUGCUUUCUCUCUCUUUCUCAUUCCCUGAUGCUUCAUCUUCCCAUUCAUCUCCGCCCGAUGCUUCGUCUUCCCACUCGCUCACUUUUCUUUUUUUGAGAAAAAGAUAGCCAGCUACUUGCUUCAUUCAUUAGGCAAAAUGAACUAAACAUACAGGAUAAAGGCAGCCGGGGCUUCCUUACAAAAAAAAAUACAUCGAAAAGAGACAAGUAGAGAAAGGAAAAAUAAAUAAUAAAUAAAAAGCGAGGGAGGUCAAGUGGUCGGGUGGUCAAAGAAAAUCAUUCCAACAGGCCAGCAGUAGAUUAAUGUGCUCAACCGCCCACUUUUCAAUUAAUGAAUUUACAUAGUCUAUUGUAAUCUAAAUAAAUUAUUUUUACAAAAAAAAAUAAAAUAAGAUCUCUUCAUACUCUUUUUCCGUACUAUUUAUAUUUAUUGAUGUUUCAUGGUAAGUUAAAAAAUUUUAAAAUUUCUACUUUAUCAAUUUUCUGUUUUUUAUAGUAUUAGUCCGCCACAAUGCGCGGUUAACUUCACUAGUAUAUAUUAUUAUACAACUGCUCUCACCUUUUGACAAAAAAAAAUAAAAAAUAAAA